AAGCGUAAUGGCCCGGGCACUGGUAUCUGCCCCCUCUGUGCUGUUCCCGAGGACUCCAACCACAUCUUCUUCGCCUGCGUCUCCACCCGGUUCCUCUGGAGCUGCUUUCGCGAGAUUGUCGGUGGGAGUUGGUGCCACACCAAUUUCCCGGACUUAUUUGCUGAACUCCAAUUGUCCCCUUCGUCCUCUCGCCACAUUAGGUGGCUCGAGGUUGGGGUCCUUGCCUGGACGCUUUGGACCGUUCGCAAUAAGCUAGUGAUCCAGCGUACUCCUCUUCGUCGCGCUACUGAUGCUCUCUACAAAUUCUCGGGUUUCUUGCAGCUUUGGCGGCCGCUUAGCCGCCCCCUGGAUCGGGACGCCAUCUCUGCCUUCAUCGCCGAUCUCCGCUCGAUGGCCGUCCGCCUGUCGCCCCCGCCGCCGCCGCCUCCGCCGGAGCCUGACUAG
rnacentral:rRNA from 1 species